UACGGAGGGUGCAAGCGUUGUCCGGAAUCACUGGGCGUAAAGGGCGCGUAGGCGGCUCAUGAAGGCUGUGGUGAAAGUCCGGGGCUCAACCUCGGAUCGGCCGUGGCGACUCGUGGGCUGGAGCACUGUAGAGGCGGGUGGAAUUCCGGGUGUAGCGGUGGAGUGCGUAGAGAUCCGGAAGAACACCAGUGGCGAAGGCGGCCCGCUGGGCAGUGGCUGACGCUGAGGCGCGACAGCGUGGGGAGCAAACAGG
rnacentral:rRNA from 1 species